AUACGUAGGGGGCGAGCGUUGUCCGGAAUUACUGGGCGUAAAGGGCGUGUAGGCUGUUGGGUAAGUCUGGUGUGAAAUGCUACGGCUCAACCGUGGCACUGCGCUGGAAACUACCUGACUGGAGUGCAGGAGGGGUCACUGGAAUCCCCGGUGUAACGGUGAAAUGUGUAGAUAUCGGGGGGAACACCUGUGGCGAAGGCGGGUGACUGGCCUGCAACUGACGCUGAGACGCGAAAGCGUGGGGAGCAAACAGGAUUAGAUACCCUGGUAGUCCACGCUGUAAACGAUGAGUGCUAGGUGUAGGGGGUAUCGACUCCCUCUGUGCCGCAGCAAACGCAUUAAGCACUCCGCCUGGGGAGUACGGUCGCAAGAUUAAA
rnacentral:rRNA from 1 species